rnacentral:rRNA from 1 species
AGGACGAACGCUGGCGGCGUGCUUAACACAUGCAAGUCGAACGAUGAUCCGGUUUCGGCCGGGGAUUAGUGGCGAACGGGUGAGUAACACGUGGGCAACCUGCCCUCCACUCUGGGAUAACUCCGGGAAACCGGGGCUAAUACUGGAUAUGAUCUUCGGGCGCAUGCCUGGGGGUGGAAAGUUUUUCGGUGGAGGAUGGGCCCGCGGCCUAUCAGCUUGUUGGUGGGGUGAUGGCCUACCAAGGCGGUGACGGGUAGCCGGCCUGAGAGGGCGACCGGCCACACUGGGACUGAGACACGGCCCAGACUCCUGCGGGAGGCAGCAGUGGGGAAUAUUGCACAAUGGGCGGAAGCCUGAUGCAGCGACGCCGCGUGAGGGAUGACGGCCUUCGGGUUGUAACCUCUUUCAGCAGGGACCAAGGCUUCGGUUGAGUGUACCUGCAGAAGAAGCACCGGCUAACUACGCGCCAGCAGCCGCGGUAA